rnacentral:rRNA from 1 species
GACGAACGCUGGCGGCGUGCUUAACACAUGCAAGUCGCACGAGGUCGGGAGCUUGCUCCCGAACCGAGUGGCGAACGGGUGAGUAACACGUGACCAACCUGUCCCAGGGUGAGGGACAACCUGGGGAAACCCGGGCUAAUACCGCAUGAUGUCUCGAGGUCGCAUGGCCAUGAGAUCAAAGAGGGCCUCUGCUUGCAAGCUCUCGCCCAGGGAGGGGGUCGCGGCGUAUCAGCUAGUUGGUGAGGUAACGGCCCACCAAGGCUACGACGCGUAGCGGGUCUGAGAGGACGACCGCCUCAUUGGGACUGAGAUACGGCCCAGACUCCUACGGGAGGCAGCAGUGGGGAAUAUUGCGCAAUGGACGAAAGUCUGACGCAGCGACGCCGCGUGUGGGAGGAAGCUCUUCGGGGUGUAAACCACUGUCAGGAGGGAAGAAAGGCGCUGACUCGAACAGGGUCUAGCGAUUGACGGUACCUCCAAAGGAAGCGCCGGCUAACUCCGU